CUUCCAAUUUGCCCAGGCUGGUCUCAAACUCCUGAGCUCAAGAGAUGUUCCCAAAGUGUUGGGAUUACAGACCACCGCCCAGCCAACUUCCAAUAUUUUAAUACCUAAAUUAACAACUCUUCUAACACAUUGGCCUCCAUUUUCUCCUUAUCUUCAUCCUUAGUUCCAUAUAUCUCUAACUCUUAUCACCUGAGCUACCUGUUAGCACAGAGAAACUCCAGGUUUCCUCAGCAUUUAAAAAUGGCCUGCCUGGCCAGGUGUAGCGGUUUAUGCCUGUAAUCCCAGCACUUUGGGAAGCUGAGGCAGGAGGAUUGGGACCAGCCUGGGCAACAUCAUGACGCCCUGUCUCUAAAAAAAAAAAAAAAAAAAGUUUUGUUUUUUUGUUUUUUUUAAUUAGCUGGGUGUCGUGCUGCAUGCCUGUUGUCCCAGCUACUCAGGAGGUUGAGGUGAGAGGGUCAUUUGAGCCCAGGAGUUUGAGGUUGCAGUGAGCUAUGACUGCACCACAGCACUCCAGCCCUGGCAAAACAGCGAGACCCUGUCCCAAAACAAAAAGGCCCACCUUCUAGGGUCUUGACUUGGAACUGCUCCUAUGUCCUCAGCUGUCCUCAGUUUUCCUAUUGCCUUGCUCUCAGUAAACCUGUAUCUCACCCUCGUUGAGAUACAGUUUUUUCUGGCUAGCCAUUUUAGCAAACACUCAGGCUACUGCCCUAAAAUCCCUGAGCUCUGUGAAAUUCACCAUUUCUUACUGGCCCCAGGUAAUAGUUAUUCUCUGCCUUAAUUGCUCCCCACAACCAGCUGCAGACAAUAUCUAGAUAAAAUCUGAAAAUUGGCUCCUAAAACAUUCCCUGUCUCAUGUGAGCUUGAGCUCUCACUAUUCUUCACUUCACCUGCUUUGGUCUGUUGACUGAGCCAUGAGCAGUCCCCAUCUCUAGCCAUUCUAGACCUCUGCCCUCAAGAACCAAUUUGGGUCUGUCAUGUGUCUUAACUAUCAGUAGAAGACCAUCCUUCUAUUUACCAAAAACAGGCUGUGUUUUGACAAUUUCCUCCUCUCUCUUAAAAUUCUAUUACAUCUGUUUCUUCCCUCUUAUUUUUUCCUUUACUCUGGGAGAAGAACUGUCUUGCCAAGGUUAAAGUUCCCCUUUGUGUUUUCUCUUCCAUCUCCUCCUCCCUCUUCCAGGAUUGUGACCCUCCCGCUCUUCCCUCUUCUCCCUUUCAACUGCCCAUGCUGUCUUUCUGCAAAAAGGCUCAAGUUUCUGUUAUUCUAAAAAUACUCUCAGCUGUUUACCUGCCUCUAGUUACUUUCCCAUCAUCUCAAAAUGUCUAGAGUGAACAGCCUGAAACUGUUACCCUGCAUAUCCUUACUUCCCACUCAUUUCCUAAUCCCAUGCAAUCUGGUUUUCAUUACAACUUCACCUAAAUACCACUCACUAAAUUUAGUUGGGAGUUUCUGCAGCUUUUGACAUUCGAUUACUAAUUUCCACCUUAGAAGUCUUCUCCUUUAGAUUCUAAAACAUACCAAUCUCUUGGUGCCUAUGCUUCUUCGACCAUCUCUCUUACUGAUUGGCUCUAUAUCCUCUCUCUGCUCCCUAAAUGUAGGUAUGUUCCUCAAGGUUUGUCUCUAGCCUGCUUUUAAUUCCAUUGUUUUCCUUUGGGAUCUACACUGUGGACCUCCUAUCACUUGUAUGUGAAUGAUGGGCCGUCACUAACCUCUCUUAAACUCUAGACUUUUUUUCAUAAUUAUCUGUUUAUCCCAAUAGAACUAAUAACAUUUCCUACCCCACAUACCCCAAACAAAUCCCACUCAUUUAAUGGAACUGUCAUUUUCCCAUUUGCCUAAAUCCAAAAGCUCAGUAUCAAUUCUUUCCUCCAACUGAAAUCCACAUACAAAUAACCGCAAAGUCCCAUAGAUUCCCCAUGGACCAUAGUUCUCUCAUUCACACCCCGCCCCCUUUCCCUUCCUACUAACCUACAAGCUGUGUCAGGACCAUAAUACCUAUGGCUUUCUUUUUCUAAAUUGGCCUUCCUAUCUUAAUCUCUGCUAUUUUAAUCUCCCACAAUUCCCCUAUACAUACCUAUGAUCUAACUCAGAGGGUUUCGACUAGCUGUAGAAUCAUCUGGGGUGCUUUUAAAACAAAGGAAAGCCAAGGCUGAGAACCACUGCUAGCCAAACUGGAACUGAGUUUUCUCAGACUUGCAUCUUGUUUGCUUUGUCUGGCUCCCUCCUCAUGGCACUUAUUUCUCUGCAAUGGACUAUCAUUAAUCCAUUGUGCUUUAACAAAUGUGUUCAAUUUUAUAACACAAAUAAUCUGAAAUUUUGUUCAACCUCCACUCCCCUUAAUCAACGUCUCUUUCCUUCCUUCCAGCCAUUUACCACGUGUACAAAUGCAGCAAGUAGUUUUUAUUUUUAUUUUAUUUAUUUAUUUUUUUGAGAUGGACUCUCGUUCUGUUGCCCCGGCUGGAGUGCAGUGGCAUGAUCUCGGCUCACUGCAACCUCUGCCUCCAGACUUCAAGAGAUUCUCCUUCCUCAGCCUCUUGAGUAGCUGGGAUUAAAGGCGCACACCACCACGCCCAGCUAAUUUUUGUAUUUUUAGUAGAGACGGGGUUUCACCAUGUUGGUCAGACUGGUCUCGAACUCCUGACCUCCUGAUCCACCUGCCUCGGCCUCCCAAAGUGCUGGGAUUACAGGCAUGAGCCACCGCGCCCAGCCCAGCAAGUAGUUAAUACAAUUUACUUCAUUUUCACAAAUAGAUCAUGACUUUAGGCAAGUAACCUCUCUUAACCUGGACUUCUCAUCUCUAAAAUAAAAAGACUGGAUUAGAUGACCUUUAAGUUUCCUUCUACUAGGAAGGAAAUAAUGAUUCUAUGAUUAUUUUAUCAUAAAAAUUACUAUUCUGAUUUUAUCAAAUUAUAAUUUUGAUUAUUUUAUAUCGACUAAGUAGAUUCUUGGACUAAAAUAUUAUUGGACUAAACAAAGCAUCAUUGGUGAAUGAUGCUUCUAGUAUACUGUACCUAAAUAUCCAGUUCAAACAGUUCUAGCUUCUCUGAUAGUUUCUGCAAUAGAAUUAUUGCCAUAUCUAUUGUGAUUCUGUCUGCAAGACGACAUCCAUCUCUUUAAUAAUGCAAAAUAUACAAUUUAAAGCAGCUUCUAAUCACUGUAAUCUUACUGCAGCCAGAAAAAUGAUAAGAAAUACCAUCACAUGAGUUCUUAAAUCUAGAUGCCAAGUUACUGUUCCUUUCACAAACUGAUUAAAUCCAUUUGUUCUAUUAUUACCAUAUAAACCCAGCCAGAGGAAACACAAGCUCCACUUUCAAACUGUUAAUUUUAAUAUUAACAUAUGAAAAAUAAUCACGGCAAUGAAGUCAUUUACUACUUAUUCCUGAUAGCUAAGCAUGAAUAAUAUAUGCAGAAAAACAUUUCAUUUCCUAAAUUAUGGUCAAAUAUAUUAUGAAGGAAAAAUUUUCUGGUAAAGAGGAUGGAAUAGUAAGGGCUAAUUGCAGCAGAAAGACACUGAUUGAGUUGGCUGCUGAGAAAUGAGGACAGGUGCAAUGGCUUGCGCCUGUAAUCCUAGCACUUUGGGAGGCUGAAGCAGGACAGCUUAAGCCCAGUCUGGGCAACAUAAGGAGACACCUGUCUCCACUAAAAAAAAAAAAAAAACCAAUAGCUGGCCAUGGUGGCGUUUGCUUGUGGUCCCCGCUGCUUCACAGGCUGAGGCAGAGGAGGACUGCUUGAGCCUAGGAGGUUGAGGCUGCAGUGAGUGGUGAUCAAGCCACUGCUGCACUCUAACCUGGGUGACAGAUCGAGACCUCAUCCCAAAAAGCAAACAAACAAGAAAUGAAGAAAAUCCUGUGUCAGAUGAAAGAGUUCAGGCUUUACCCUUGCUAAAACAUGGACAGUUUUUCUUCUCAAGCCAUGACUUUGUUUGUACAUCUUCAAAAUGAAGACAGUGAGCUACAUAAAUCAGUUCCAAAGUUGCCUGAUACAAUCACCCAAAAAGCUUUUUGAAAAUAACGAAUACCAGGCCCCCACCCCCGGAGAUUAUUCUAAUACAGGUCUGAGCUAUGACACACACUUCUGAAUUUUUAAUUUUUAAACUAGAUAUCUAUUUCUUUUCAUACAUGAUUGAGAAACAUUAAGAUAAACUCUAAGAUAUAUUUCUAGUUCUAGAAUUCUACUGUAUACAGAAUAAUGCCCCUAUGAGGUGUUCAAUAAUAGCAAAAUGGCUUAGUAAUAAUCUGAGAGACUACUAUAAGAAUCAAUAGCUAUCAGGUAAGUAUAUACAUGGCUAUUUUGAUUAUAGCUAAUCAGUGAAGUAAUGGAAAAAACAACCAUCCAACCAUCAAUUAGCCAAAAGGACUUAAAAAUUUUGUUUUCAACAUAUUUAAAAACACCAACACUCUUGCCAAUUAAAAAGAAAAUGUAUAGUGAGAAUUUAGGAAAAAUGGAUAAUUUCAAAAAUUAAAUCCUCUGGAAAUUAAUCACCUGAGUCUGGUUUCAUUAUCGAUUUUAGGAUAAAAACAUAGUUUUAAACUUAUUUUUCACUUUAAAGACCAUUAUUUUUAAAGCUUUAAUUUUUAUUUUUUAGUAAUAAUGGAAAUAUUUUGUGGUUUGAAUUUUGGAAACCAUGUAAUUAUAAUCCUAUAUUUGCAGAUUCACUUUAGGUCUUCACACACAAAAAAGUCUACUUUUUCACAUUCCAUUUUUUCUGCUAGGUUACAUUUUAUAAACUCUGUAAACAGGAAACUACUCAAUUACAAAAGUCCUAUGUUGGUUUAUUCACUAUUAAACUAUCUAAAUAAGGCUUGUUUGAAAUGAAAAAAUUGGCAGUCAGAAAAUAUACUGGAAAGGAACCAGGUAACAAAAACAUCCAUUCUGUCAAGCUGUACUAGUAGGGGAAGAGGGACAAAUGUGUGGAAUAAAAAGGUUAUCCCAUCUGUUUGGCAUGUUGUUUUUCAUUCAACAGUAUUAAAUAAGUGGCAGCGGCAUUGUAAAAAAUUUCAGCUGAUGCUUUCAAAGUCUAAGCACUUUAAAAUGAUGAUCAGCAUUAGGUUCAAGAGCCUAGGGCCCAUAAGCUCUUAUGAGGACACACUCUUAUAUUUCUUCUUCCUAGGUUUAAACCAUCACAAAGGAGGACAUUUCGAAUCAGUGUUUAUGCUUUGCCACCUGACAAGCCUCUUAGAAAUCUGAACCUCUAACCGAUCGUUCCUUCCAAGUACAGACUUGCCAUUAUGCCAGAGUUCAUAUACAGUCCUCGAAGCAGCAGACCAGCAUCUUAAUAUUUUUCAUGUAUUCUGCAUAUAUAUAGCCAGAAGUUAAAACUCCACAGCAUACUUCAUUCUCAUAAAAGUUAUAAAUUUCUUUCAGUAAAAGCUACUGCUUCUUAGUCUGGUUAUUACAGCUAAAGACAGCUCUGACUCCAACUAAUUAUACUAAGGGUCUGAAUAAUACCGGAAAAAAGCCCCAAAGAGUAUUUUGAAGAAGUCUGUGUUCAUAUACUUCAUUAAGAAGCCACAUCUCAAUGAAAAUACUCUAUAAAUAUGAAAGGACCAGUGAUAACAUCACAUAACUUGAAUAUCAGAGGAAAACACUCAAGUUCACAUUUUUAAGUGCUACAGAUCAUGAAGUAGCCUCCAAAACAACUAUUUACUUUUAAAAAUCCUCCUGCUUUCAAAGCAUAAAGGAAAUAUUUGAUGGAUUAAAUAUCACAUUGCCAACUAAUAGGUUUAGCGGCUUGAUGGAAAAGGACUAAAACAAGUUUCUACCAAUUAUACCUUGUCUAUAUAAAACAAAGUCAAAGCCUAUUUACAAAGAACAAAUACGUAGUCUUAAACUAACAGCCGAGCCAUCCAUGAAUAAUGACCAAAACAAAAAGCUGGAUAAGAGCUUUGAUAACCUGGGUUCAAAUUAUGUCAGUAUCUUAUUCUCAAAUGCAAAGAAUUAUUUUCAAAUGCAGAUAAUGACUGAUGUAUCACUUAGGGAGUUAGUGAGACUGAGGACUCACAUGAAUAAAAUUUUAUCAAACUUAAAAACGGUGUAUUCUGAGGACUCAAAUGACCAAAUAUUUUAUCAGACCCAAAGAUUCCAGCUAUGUAGUGGUUUCACCAGCCUAAAAAAUAAGAUUUAAAACACUUUUUCUACGUAAAAUUUUAGGCCUUCAGGUUUCUUAUUGCACAGGACUUGAUGAGGUGUAAUUUGGUCAGGCCACAUUAGACUUACGAAACAAGUGAAAAGACAGGGACAGGAAUGUUUUUGAAAUGUCUCUGAUACUGUGAAUUAUUCCCUUGGUAACUUCUAGAAUGCUUUAUUAAAGUGACAGUACCAGCGACUCCUAGCAUAUCUACAGAACUAAGUUCAUUAAGUCUAGCUGAUAAAUCUAACUUUUUAUUAACUUAAAAGUUAGGAUAAACAUUUAAAAAAGCUUCUACUGUAGAUAUGCCCCAUUUCAAGAAACUAUAAUAUACACAAAACCUCAUGCUUACAAAAUAGUCAAAGUAGGGAGAGAGUAUUACAAAAAAUUUUUACUGUACAAAAUAACUCACUUGAGCAUUUGUUAAAAGAUAAUUUGGAUUACAAAAUUUUGAUUAAUGCACUUUCCAGGAAAUACUAGGUUGGUGCAAAAGUAACUGUGUUUUUGCCAUUAAAAAUGACCCAAAACUGCAAUUACUUUUGCACCAACCUAAUUAUCCAGUUCAUAAUUUGGGCUCACCUAUGUCUAGAUUCAACAUCUAUAGGGAAAGAAGUAAAAUGGGUGUGUAAGAAGAAAAAGUCAAAGCAAAUAAGCAAAAAUCAUCAUAAUAGUACAGGCUAAUAAAUGAAGAAAUCGAGAGACAGUUUCAUUAAUUAAUAUAUUUUCUGCAUUAUAGUUAACAUAUGUACUUUCUUCGUGUCACCUUAUUUUCCGUUA
rnacentral:lncRNA from 10 species